UACGGAGGGGGCUAGCGUUGUUCGGAAUUACUGGGCGUAAAGCGUGCGCAGGCGGUUUUGUAAGUCUGUUGUGAAAUCCCCGGGCUCAACCUGGGAAUGGCAUUUGUGACUGCACGGCUAGAGUGUGUCAGAGGGGGGUAGAAUUCCACGUGUAGCAGUGAAAUGCGUAGAGAUGUGGAGGAAUACCGAUGGCGAAGGCAGCCCCCUGGGAUAACACUGACGCUCAUGCACGAAAGCGUGGGGAGCAAACAGG
rnacentral:rRNA from 1 species